rnacentral:rRNA from 1 species
CGAACGCUGGCGGCGUGCCUAAUACAUGCAAGUCGAACGCACUCUCGUUUAGAUUGAAGGAGCUUGCUCCUGAUUGAUAACAUUUGAGUGAGUGGCGGACGGGUGAGUAACACGUGGGUAACCUGCCCUAAAUGGGGGAUAACAUUUGGAAACAGAUGCUAACACCGCAUAAAACCUAACACCGCAUGGUGUAGGGUUGAAAGAUGGUUUCGGCUAUCACUUUAGGAUGGACCCGCGGUGCAUUAGUUAGUUGGUGAGGUAAAGGCUCACCAAGACCGUGAUGCAUAGCCGACCUGAGAGGGUAAUCGGCCACACUGGGACUGAGACACGGCCCAGACUCCUACGGGAGGCAGCAGUAGGGAAUCUUCCACAAUGGACGAAAGUCUGAUGGAGCAACGCCGCGUGAGUGAAGAAGGUUUUCGGAUCGUAAAACUCUGUUGUUGGAGAAGAAUGUAUCUGAUAGUAACUGAUCAGGUAGUGACGGUAUCCAACCAGAAAGCCACGGCUAACUACGUG